CCCUCUCUGUGCCUAUACAAGGGCCCCAAAGGCAUCGGAUUCCCCUGGAAUUCCCUUGGAAUAGCUGGAAUUCCCAGGGCAGCUGCAUUGGACCUUAAACUGACUCUCCCAGAAAUGGUGAAUCCACAGAUCAACAAAUAUUUCAACUUCAAAAUAAAAACUAUAUGUUUUGGUGCUCUCAUCAUGUGCUUCCCAAUAUGUGUUCUUAUUUGUUCACAAUAUGUGUGCAAGAAGAGAUGUUGCAAAAAAUGUAUUUCCUUAACAUUUAUGUAACGACCUAAUUCGUCCCUUUUGAUCAAUUUUGGCUCAAAGUUUGCAUUAUCUAAAAAUAAAAUAGCUACACUUGCUUUUCUCUGGGGUCUUAUGGCAUGGAGAAUUUUAUCCAUCUUUUGACUAUUAGUCUAUGAAUAUCGUUUUGGGUUAUAUGUUUCUUGAUUGCAUCAUAUUGUUGGAUCUUACUUUUUGAUCCAUUCAGCCAGCCCAUUUCUUUUGAUUGAUAAAAUGGAAAAUGGUGAGUUUCAACUCUUGAUCCACUUUGAUUGAAGAUAUUACUAAGUUGAACCAUAUUUUAGGCAAUUAAAAGACACAAAGGGUAUCUUACUCUUCCUCAUUUAGUGAAUAAAUAAGACAUUACCUCUAGUGAAACUACGCAGCUUGCAAUUUGCUUCAAUUUCAUAUAAAUUCAAAAUAUUUCCUGUUGGCUUUUCAACUGGCAAGUUUU